UGACCUACGUGGUCAGACGCUAAAAGCCGUUGUUGUCUGUGAUGUGGCUGCUCUGCAUAACACUGACAUUUACUGGAUCAGAGAUUCAUCAGUCCGAAGCGCCCACAUCCGGCGUUAUUAAUCGAGAGGACGUCUGAGCUUCUCCUCCGUGCUCGGGCGCGAGGUACAUAAUGUGCUGUACAUGCUCAGAGUUCAGUCUCUCUGGUUAAUUACAGUGACAAAUGGCAGACGGGCCCCAAAAGUGUAGUGUGCAGUUAAAAAAGUGACAGGCUCAUUUUUGUAUGUAAACAAAUUCCUGGAUUCACUGUAAUCUAAUUACUACCUGGAGAGCUUUUGCACAUAGUGCAGAAAACAGCAGAAACACUUCAGAAUUUAACAAACUAAAUUAUGGGGACAGAACAACAUGAAAUGAAGCUCCAUUCCGAUGGCACCGCUAGAUACUCAUGUGACCGCAGUAAGUGUUUCCAAACCUCAGUUAUGCUGCCCAACAUUAGCUACCUCAAAGAGGAGGCCAGGGAGCAUCUUGAACAGUUAAAAGCGCCGUUGAUGGAGAGACGCAGAUCCAGCGGAUGACUUUAGCGGAUCAAAAACCUCUGUAAGGCUCAGUGUGUGUUUUCCCUCCAUCAACAGAAAAGUGCACGCUGAUUGUCAUCACCGAAGCGUCUGGCUGACUUUAUCAACAGAAGGGUCCUGUUUUUAUCAGUUUGCUACAGAAUGUUUUUUUCUGUGGUCGAGUGUGAUUGCAGCUCUUCUGAUGAAGAACAGAGAAAACAGAGGAAAGAUGAAAAGAGGAAAGUCAUAAAGAACUGAAAAUAACUCUGAUCAUAACAACAGCACAGUGCUUUUUCCUCUUGGCAUCUAAUUGAGCUAAUUUGCCCUCUUGUUUUUGUUUUCAUGUUCAGCUUUUGAAGCUUGACAACUCUGUAGACAGUAAUUAGGUUAGUUACAUUUGCUUGGAAGUGAUAAUUAUUGUCACCAAGCCAGGUGUAAUGGCUUGAAAUUCUGUUGCUAAACACAGGACACUCAUGCGCAAACUGCAGCAGAUCAUUUUGCCAAACAACUCGCUCUGAACACAAGUGCUUACAGCCACAGGAAUUAAACAAACUGCAUAUUUUAUUAAGGCGCAUCUCCAGAAAUAUCUAGCACUAUUUAUAGUAGUAAGCAUUUUACAUGAACAGGGUACAAAAUAGGGCCUGAAAAUAAUAAUAAAAAUAUGAAACAUGGUUUUAAAAAAAGAUAUUAAAUAAUAAUAAUAAACACUAAGUAGAUUUAUAUAUAUAUAUAUAUAUAUAUAUAUUUAAAUGGGCAUAAUAGGGUGCAAAAUAGUUA